rnacentral:rRNA from 1 species
GUGUCAGCAGCCGCGGUAAGACGAAGGUGGCGAGCGUUGUUCGGAAUCACUGGGCAUAAAGCGCACGUAGGCGGUGUCGUAAGUCGGAUGUGAAAUCCCUCGGCCUAACCGAGGAACUGCGUCCGAUACUGCGAUGCUUGAGGACCAGAGGGGUGCAUGGAAUUUCCGGUGGAGCGGUGAAAUGCGUUGAUAUCGGAAGGAACUCCGGCGGCGAAAGCGAUGCACUGGCUGGUUUCUGACGCUGAGGUGCGAAAGCCAGGGGAGCAAACGGGAUUAGAUACCCCGGUAGUCCUGGCCGUAAACGAUGGGUACUAGGUAGGGGGAUUUCAAACGUCUCUCUGCUGGAGUGAAUAUAUUAAGUACCCCGCCUGGGAAGUACAGUCGCAAGGCUGAA